UACGAAGGGUGCAAGCGUUAGUCGGAAUUACUGGGCGUAAAGCGUGCGUAGGCGGUUUCUUAAGUCCGUUGUGAAAGCCCUGGGCUCAACCUGGGAACUGCAGUGGAUACUGAGAGGCUAGAGUGUGUCAGAGGAUGGUGGAAUUCCCGGUGUAGCGGUGAAAUGCGUAGAGAUCGGGAGGAACAUCAGUGGCGAAGGCGGCCAUCUGGGACAACACUGACGCUGAGGAGCGAAAGCCAGGGGAGCAAACGGG
rnacentral:rRNA from 1 species